rnacentral:lncRNA from 1 species
GCCCUGAGCGGCGGUGGUACGGUCCGCGCCGGCCCCGGCUAUAAAUAGCGCGGGGCGCAUGGCUCUUCGGGAGGCGCAGGGAGUCCGGGCCCGGCGGCCGCGGGGAGCGGGUGCUUGCUAGGAGCCGGGCUGCCGGCCUCCUCGCUCUGCCUUUUGGGGGUUCUUUUUGUAAUAGCAGCAGACUAGAAAAAGCGAGCCGGCUUGGAGGGAGUCCGCCCAGCGAUCCGAGUGCGCAUUGAUCAGUGUCGAGAGAAAAAAAAGCUACAUAAAUAUAUAUUAUGUGGAUAAAUCUGCAGACAAGAGCUCUCUCGUGCGCGCGUCCGUUCCCCGUUUCUCUCCCUCUGCCUCUUCCCUCCCCGCGUCCCCAACCUGCCAGAGCGGCUGCAAACCUUCCUCCCGCCCGGCGGCCACCGCCACCCGGUCCAGGCGCGCGGGGGAGUGGAGAUCCGGGGUCCGAGCCCCGCUCCACCAGCCUCUGAAGGCGGGAGGUGGGUGUUUCCGUCCCGGACGGCCUCUCCCGCCCCGGGGAGCGGCGGCUGGCCCGGCCCGCGGCUGGCGGGAGGAAGAAAUGAGACCCCGGCUGCCUGAAGCCCCAGGCCGAGCCCGGAUGGUGCAGCCACAGCGCGGAGCUCUCCAGCGCCGAAGGAGGCCAGAGGCCGGGAGUUUCCUCGCCCCAAGCCCGAGCCCGCUCGGGACGCCUUUCCCUGAGGAUCGGGGCCCAAAGCAAGCAGCAAGUACUGAGAACUGUUGAACUUCACCUUUUCUGUUUAGAUUCUCGGGCCUUUGCUGGAUGGAGUCCUGUAUUUAAAUCUUGCAAUCACUGCUGGGAAGUGAGCUGUAUCAUCCUGAGAAAUCAGACCACAGAGCCUGUGCUGCAGCUGGCAGCCGGGUCAUCUUUAACCGCUUAACCCUUUGUAUCCAAGGACUGAUUGAAGCGGCAGACUCCUCCAGAAUCCACUGGGGCAGGUUUUCUCAUUGCAGAGCUGAGAGUUAAAAUGAAACUGAGUGUGUACAGCAAAAACCUUGCCUUGUAAAUUGACUUUUGUGCCUAUCCACACGACUGACUUUAUGUGUAUCUCCUUGUGGGGAAUGUGCUUGUGUUUGAGUGCACACCUGGCUGUGAUAUAUGUGAAUGUGAGUUUUUGUGUGAAAACAUGCAGUGAGUCUCUGUGCACAUGUGUGGAUGUGAGUGUGUGUGUGUGCAUCAUAUGCAUAAAGAAAGUUCUUCCCUGUGUCAUAAAAUAAGAUCCAGGCUAUCAAGGCUGGCAUAAUGGAUAAUCUGAAAAACAAAACAAAACAAAAUUGCAAAAUGAGGGAGCUUUAAAAUCUUAGUGAAAAUGAAAAGAGAAAUUUAUUUUGGUGCAAAAAAUUUUGAAAAACGUGCAUGUGAAGAGGUCUUCUAUAGUUUACAGAAAAUAUAUAUUAUGAAAAAACUAUGUACGGGACAGGUAUUUGGCCUAGUGGUUAAGAUGCUGACUGAAACUCUGGCACCCCAUAUUAGAGUGCCUGUGUCUGACUCCCAGCUCCAAUCCCAAUUCCAGUUUCUGACCAUUGUGUCCUCUGAGAGGCAUUAGGUGAUGGCUCAAGUGGUUGUGUUCCUACCACUCUCAAGGGAGACCUAGAUUAGGUUUCUGGAUCCUGGUUUUGGCUUGGCACAGCUCUGGUUGUUGUGGCUAUUUGGAGAGUGAACCAACAGAUGGGAGCUGUUUGUGUGUCUAUCUGUCUCUCUGACUUUCAAAUAAAUAAAAUAAAUAAAUUUGAAAAGAAAAAAAU